UACAGAGGAUGCAAGCGUUAUCCGGAAUGAUUGGGCGUAAAGCGUCUGUAGGUGGCUUUUUAAGUCCGCCGUCAAAUCCCAGGGCUCAACUCUGGACAGGCGGUGGAAACUACCAAGCUGGAGUACGGUAGGGGCAGAGGGAAUUUCCGGUGGAGCGGUGAAAUGCGUAGAGAUCGGAAAGAACACCAACGGCGAAGGCGGGUUGCUGGGCCGACACUGACGCUGAGGCGCGAAAGCCAGGGGAGCGAACGGG
rnacentral:rRNA from 1 species